CCUCGGAGAGUUUGAUCCUGGCUCAGGACGAACGCUGGCGGCGUGCCUAAUACAUGCAAGUCGAGCGGACAGAAGGGAGCUUGCUCCCGGAUGUUAGCGGCGGACGGGUGAGUAACACGUGGGUAACCUGCCUGUAAGACUGGGAUAACUCCGGGAAACCGGAGCUAAUACCGGAUAGUUCCUUGAACCGCAUGGUUCAAGGAUGAAAGACGGUUUCGGCUGUCACUUACAGAUGGACCUGCGGCGCAUUAGCUAGUUGGUGAGGUAACGGCUCACCAAGGCAACGAUGCGUAGCCGACCUGAGAGGGUGAUCGGCCACACUGGGACUGAGACACGGCCCAGACUCCUACGGGAGGCAGCAGUAGGGAAUCUUCCGCAAUGGACGAAAGUCUGACGGAGCAACGCCGCGUGAGUGAUGAAGGUUUUCGGAUCGUAAAGCUCUGUUGUUAGGGAAGAACAAGUGCAAGAGUAACUGCUUGCACCUUGACGGUACCUAACCAGAAAGCCAC
rnacentral:rRNA from 1 species